AGUGAACGCUGGCGGUAGGCCUAACACAUGCAAGUCGAACGGCAGCACAGUAAGAGCUUGCUCUUACGGUUGGCGAGUGGCGGACGGGUGAGGAAUACAUCGGAAUCUACUUUUUCGUGGGGGAUAACGUCGGGAAACUUACGCUAAUACCGCAUACGACCUACGGGUGAAAGCAGGGGAUCUUCGGACCUUGCGCGAUUGAAUGAGCCGAUGUCGGAUUAGCUAGUUGGCGGGGUAAAGGCCCACCAAGGCGACGAUCCGUAGCUGGUCUGAGAGGAUGAUCAGCCACACUGGAACUGAGACACGGUCCAGACUCCUACGGGAGGCAGCAGUGGGGAAUAUUGGACAAUGGGCGCAAGCCUGAUCCAGCCAUACCGCGUGGGUGAAGAAGGCCUUCGGGUUGUAAAGCCCUUUUGUUGGGAAAGAAAAGCAGCAGGUUAAUACCCCGCUGUUUUGACGGUACCCAAAGAAUAGGCACCGGCUAACUUCGUG
rnacentral:rRNA from 1 species